rnacentral:rRNA from 1 species
UACGUAGGGGGCUAGCGUUGUCCGGAAUCAUUGGGCGUAAAGCGCGUGUAGGCGGUCCGGUAAGUCCGCUGUGAAAGUCGAGGGCUCAACCCUCGAAUGCCGGUGGAUACUGGCGGGCUUGAGUACGGGAGAGGCGAGUGGAAUUCCUGGUGUAGCGGUGAAAUGCGCAGAUAUCAGGAGGAACACCGAUUGCGAAGGCAGCUCGCUGGAACGUUACUGACGCUGAGAAGCGAAAGCGUGGGGAGCAAACAGG